rnacentral:rRNA from 1 species
UACGUAGGGUGCGAGCGUUAAUCGGAAUUACUGGGCGUAAAGCGUGCGCAGGCGGUCUGUUAAGACAGAUGUGAAAUCCCCGGGCUUAACCUGGGAACUGCAUUUGUGACUGGCAGGCUAGAGUAUGGCAGAGGGGGGUAGAAUUCCACGUGUAGCAGUGAAAUGCGUAGAGAUGUGGAGGAAUACCGAUGGCGAAGGCAGCCCCCUGGGCCAAUACUGACGCUCAUGCACGAAAGCGUGGGGGAGCAAACAGG